rnacentral:rRNA from 1 species
AGAGAGAGACAUGCGUGCAUAUCAAUAAGCGGAGGAAAAGAAACUAACAAGGAUUCCCCUAGUAACGGCGAGUGAAGCGGGAAGAGCUCAAAUUUGAAAUCUUAAAGGGUUUCCCUUUACGAAUUGUAGUUUAAAGAAGUGUUUUUCUGUUGAGGUUUUGGUAAAAGUUCUUUGGAAUAGGACAUCAUAGAGGGUGAGAAUCCCGUAUUUGACCUUUACUUUUCAGCUGUGUGAUACACUUUCAAAGAGUCGGAUUGUUUGGGAAUGCAGUCCAAAAUGGGUGGUAAAUUUCAUCUAAAGCUAAAUAUUGGCGAGAGACCGAUAGCGAACAAGUACCGUGAGGGAAAGAUGAAAAGAACUUUGAAAAGAGAGUUAAACAGUACGUGAAAUUGUCAAAAGGGAAGCGUUUUGACACCAGUGUUGUUUUUUCUGAAAAUCAAUUGAAAGAACUGUUUAUGCUAAGCUUGUUUAGACUUUAUCAGCUAAUCUGUUUAGUUUUGAGCUUUUCUUUAAUGCACUUUUCAGUUAACAAGUCAACAUCAAUUUCUUUUGCUGUAAAAAAGCUUGAGGAAGGUGGCUUGAGAUUCGUCUUAAGUGUUUAUAGCCUCUUGCCUAUGCAGUCGGAGAGAUUGAGGUCUGCAGCGUAGAUCCUUCGGGGCUAAAUGCAUUUGUGCUAAGUUAUAACAUUUUAUAGACAACUCGUUGACUAUGAUUUGUCUUGUAGCUUACUCGCUUAUGUUAUUUUACCUACGCUUAGGAUGUUGAGCGCAUGUCUCUCUCU